GAUUACGAAUUCGAGCUCGGUACCCGGGGAUCCUCUAGAGAUUCGGGGGGGCACAAGCGGUGGAGCAUGUGGUUUAAUUCGAUGCAACGCAAAGAACCUUACCUGGUCUUGACAUCCACGGAAGUUUUCAGAGAUGAGAAUGUGCCUUCGGGAACCGUGAGACAGGUGCUGCAUGGCUGUCGUCAGCUCGUGUUGUGAAAUGUUGGGUUAAGUCCCGCAACGAGCGCAACCCUUAUCCUUUGUUGCCAGCGGUCCGGCCGGGAACUCAAAGGAGACUGCCAGUGAUAAACUGGAGGAAGGUGGGGAUGACGUCAAGUCAUCAUGGCCCUUACGACCAGGGCUACACACGUGCUACAAUGGCGCAUACAAAGAGAAGCGACCUCGCAAGAGCAAGCGGACCUCAUAAAGUGCGUCGUAGCCCGGAUUGGAGUCUGCAACUCGACUCCAUGAA
rnacentral:rRNA from 1 species